AACGAGCGCUGGCGGCUUGCCUAACACAUGCAAGUCGAACGAGAUCUUCGGGUCUAGUGGCGCACGGGUGCGUAACGCGUGGGAAUCUGCCCUUUGGUUCGGAAUAACAGUUGGAAACGACUGCUAAUACCGGAUGAUGACGAAAGUCCAAAGAUUUAUCGCCAGAGGAUGAGCCCGCGUAGGAUUAGCUAGUUGGUGUGGUAAAGGCGCACCAAGGCGACGAACCUUAGCUGGUCUGAGAGGAUGAUCAGCCACACUGGGACUGAGACACGGCCCAGACUCCUACGGGAGGCAGCAGUGGGGAAUAUUGGACAAUGGGCGAAAGCCUGAUCCAGCAAUGCCGCGUGAGUGAUGAAGGCCUUAGGGUUGUAAAGCUCUUUUACCCGGGAUGAUAAUGACAGUACCGGGAGAAUAAGCUCCGGCUAACUCCGUGCCAGCCGCCGCAGUAA
rnacentral:rRNA from 1 species